rnacentral:lncRNA from 1 species
CGGAGGAGGAGGAAUUUGAGGAGGAGGAGGGUGAAGAAGAGAAGGAAGAAGAAGGAGAGGAGGAGGACUAUGAAGAAGAGGAACAGGAUGAAGACAAAGAGGAGGACGAGGAGGAGGCUGAGGAUGAGGACAAGGAGGAGAAGGAAAAGGACAGCAAAGAGGAUACAGAAAUUGCUUGUGGCGCCUGUUCUGCUGAGCAUAGAGUAUGGGAUACGGCUACUGAGUAUAAACUGGAGUACUUUUUUGGAGAAAGUCUCCCAAUGUCUUUAUUGUUCUUCUCUAAAGAAGCUACUGAAUAUAAGUAUGAAAAUUCUGAUGAAGAGGCUCAAGAAGCUGGAGGCAAGAAGGAGAGAGAAGAGGAUGAAAAUGAAGAACUGGAAGAAGGACUAGAAAAGGAUCCGGACUCAGCAGAGGACAGCACCUUCAAAAAAUCCAGCUUGGAGGCGGAGAAAGAAAUAGAUGGAGAAAUAAGAAAUUAAUUUCCUCUUCAUGGAUGUUCUAGUUUUCAGUAGCUCAAACAACUGGUUUUGUUAAAGUUCA